ACAUACAUGCAGUCCUGGCACAUGGGUAUGAAUAGGGACAAUGGUAGAGCAUAUAAUAAAUGCAUUUGUCAAAUUAUGUCUAAACGGUCAUAUUUCAACUGUUUCAAAAACAUUAAGAAAUAACACAAAAAUUGAAAUCAUUAAAUCGUAUUAUUAUAAGGAGACGACACCCAAACGAACAAUUGUAUUGUGUAUUUAUGUGAGUAGAAGAACAUGUGAUAGAUUACAUUUUUCUUU
rnacentral:lncRNA from 1 species